rnacentral:tRNA from 1 species
AUCUUUCUAGUACAGAUUAGUAUAGGUGACUUCCAAUCACCAGGCCUUGGCUAAUAACCCAAGGAAAGAUA